rnacentral:rRNA from 1 species
CGCGGUAUCCUAACCGUGCGAAGGUAGCGUAAUCACUUGUUCUUUAAAUGAGGACUAGUAUGAAUGGCAUCACGAGGGUUAAACUGUCUCCUUUUUCUAAUCAGUGAAACUAAUCUCCCCGUGAAGAAGCGGGGAUUAUUUUAUAAGACGAGAAGACCCUAUGGAGCUUAAAACAAAUUUACACCUGCUUUAAUAUAUAACCCUCCCGAGGACUCACACAAAUUAUAGCAUAACUGAUAAUUAGUUUUCGAUUGGGGUGAUCAUGGAGAAAAAACCAACCUCCACGACGAUAAGGGGGAGCACCUCCUGAGCCAAAAGCCACAACUUUCAGCACUAAAAAAUUAACGCACUUUGACCCAAUUACUUGAGCAACGAACCAAGUUACCCUAGGGAUAACAGCGCAAUCCACUUCAAGAGCUCAUAUCGACAAGUGGGC